GGCGGGGCUUUGGGCGGAAGUGCGCUCUCCGCCGCUGCGGCCCGAGAAGAUGCAGCGCCCCGUGUGCUGGUGGCUGAGCUUCGGCCUGGGGAGCUUCCUGGCCGGGCGGGCGGAGGCCCCGAGCCCCGUAGAGCCACCGGAGCGGAGCCGGCCCUACGCGGUGCUGCGCGGGCAGAACCUGGUGUUGAUGGGAACCAUUUUCAGCAUCCUGCUGGUGACUGUGAUCCUUAUGGCAUUUUGUGUCUACAAGCCCAUUCGGCGUCGGUGACAGCCAAGCAAACAAGUUCUUCCACAAGUACUGGAGAAAAGAUCAAUUGUGUUGCACGUGGGUCAUUGGAGAAGUUGGAAUCAGAACUCCGCCACUUGGAAGUCCGACCACUUCAGUCUGGACAGUUGGUAAAUGUGAAAUGAUUUAGAAAAAACAUUAGGUAGUUUUUUUUUUCCUAACACUGUAAUGUAAGUAACUGGGUCUGCCUCUUAGUGUUUCUUUGUAUAUCUGGCUACAUUCAACACUUGUUACACCUUAAGACCUGAAGCUCCCAGUUUCAGUGUAAAGAUGGGAAAGCGGUUAACUAACUAUGUGAGUGGUGUGAAAACCACACAGGAAAGGACUAAUCCUGAAUGUUGGGAAAUAUUCAUAAGAGGAAGACUUAACGUGUAGACAUUCUAUACUGGAGACCCAUUUGGUCACAGUGGGGUUAAGAAUCACAUGUUUUUAGUUAUAUUGAGUUGGCUUGGAAUGCCCUCGUUGCAAAGCUGUCUCAGCUGUGGGGAACUUGGGCCACCACUCCUCAUGCUGCAUGGCUCUGUACUCCAAUGCCCCCAGUGAAGUCAGGGUCACAUCAGGUAGGCCUAUGACCAAGAGCACCCUGGGGUUGGAAGGCUCUGAGUUGGACUAGAAAUGUGACUGAGAAAGAACUCCAUCCUGCUGAAACACGUUGAUCUUCCUGGGGCUGCACUCAAGCCUUUCCAGCCCCUGGCCUAAAACAUGUGGCAGCUUUUCAGAUUUGGGAUCUAAAAGAAAUUCAGCAGGAACUCUUUUUAGCCCUGGGUGAGGAGGUCCUCAGAAGUAUAUGUUCUGGUAGAAGAGCGAGUGUCAGGUGGGUGUGUGUUUACACAGAUUUCAUCUCAACCUUGAAAAUGCUGCUGUUUUGCAAUGUUGAACUGGAUUUUUUCUUUCCUAUUGAAAUGAUACUUUUGUACUUACAAAGUGGUUGUUAUCAGUAUUUAUUUUAAAGAUGCUAGGUUUAAUUUGUUAUUAAAUUGAAAUGCUUAUCUUGUAUUCCGUUCAGUAACUGCACUGACUUUUUUUUUUAACACCCUGCACUGAAUGUGAAACAAAUUAACGUGGGAUACUGUAACUGUUGAACUUAAGGAUUUUGUGUGUAACCCUAACAUUGAGCCAUUGAAGUGUUCACUGUUUUGUGCUUUGCGCCAAGUGUCAAUUAAAAUUAAAGUAAAAUCUUACAUGC